rnacentral:rRNA from 1 species
GGACGAACGCUGGCGGCGUGCCUAAUACAUGCAAGUCGAACGAGCUCUCCUAAAUUGAUUUUAUGCUUGCAUAAAUGAUUUUUAGAUUCGGAGCGAGUGGCGAACUGGUGAGUAACACGUGGGUAACCUGCCCCGAAGCGGGGGAUAACAUUUGGAAACAAAUGCUAAUACCGCAUAAUUAGUUGGAACCGCAUGGUUCCAACUUGAAAGAUGGCUCUGCUAUCACUUUGGGAUGGACCCGCGCCGUAUUAGUUAGUUGGUGAGAUAAAAGCCCACCAAGACGAUGAUACGUAGCCGACCUGAGAGGGUAAUCGGCCACAUUGGGACUGAGACACGGCCCAGACUCCUACGGGAGGCAGCAGUAGGGAAUCUUCCACAAUGGACGAAAGUCUGAUGGAGCAACGCCGCGUGAGUGAUGAAGGUUUUCGGAUCGUAAAACUCUGUUGUUAAAGAAGAACAAGUGUUAGAGUAACUGUUAACACUUUGACGGUAUUUAACCAGAAAGCCACGGCUAACUACGUGCCAGCAGCCGCGGUAAUACGUAGGUGGCAAGCGUUGUCCGGAUUUAUUGAGCGUAAAGCGAGCGCAGGCGGUUUUGUAAGUCUGCUGUGAAAGCCCUCAGCUCAACUGAGGAAGUGCAGUGGAAACUACAAAACUUGAGUACAGAAGAGGAAAGUGGAACUCCAUGUGUAGCGGUGAAAUGCGUAGAUAUAUGGAAGAACACCAGUGGCGAAGGGCGGCUUUCUGGUCUGUUACUGACGCUGAGGCUCGAAAGCAUGGGUAGCGAACAGGAUUAGAUACCCUGGUAGUCCAUGCCGUAAACGAUGAAUACUAGGUGUUGGAGGGUUUCCGCCCUUCAGUGCCGCAGCUAACGCAUUAAGUAUUCCGCCUGGGGAGUACGACCGCAAGGUUGAAACUCAAAGGAAUUGACGGGGGCCCGCACAAGUGGUGGAGCAUGUGGUUUAAUUCGAUGCUACGCGAAGAACCUUACCAGCUCUUGACAUCUUCUGCCAACCCAAGAGAUUGGGCGUUCCCUUCGGGGACAGAAUGACAGGUGGUGCAUGGUUGUCGUCAGCUCGUGUCGUGAGAUGUUGGGUUAAGUCCCGCAACGAGCGCAACCCUUAUUAUUAGUUGCCAGCAUUUAGUUGGGCACUCUAGUGAGACUGCCGGUGAUAAACCGGAGGAAGGUGGGGACGACGUCAAAUCAUCAUGCCCCUUAUGAGCUGGGCUACACACGUGCUACAAUGGAUGGUACAACGAGUCGCGAAACCGCGAGGUCAAGCUAAUCUCUUAAAGCCAUUCUCAGUUCGGAUUGCAGGCUGCAACUCGCCUGCAUGAAGUUGGAAUCACUAGUAAUCGUGGAUCAGCAUGCCACGGUGAAUACGUUCCCGGGCCUUGUACACACC